rnacentral:rRNA from 1 species
UACGUAGGGGGCAAGCGUUGUCCGGAUUUAUUGGGCGUAAAGCGCGCGUAGGCGGCCCGGUAAGUCCGUUGUAGAAGCCGAAGGCUCAACCUUCGAAAGCCGAUGGAUACUGCCGGGCUAGAGUACGGAAGAGGCGAGUAGAAUUCCUGGUGUAGCGGUGGAAUGCGCAGAUAUCAGGAGGAAUACCCAUAGCGAAGGCAGCUCGCUGGGACGUUACUGACGCUGAGGCGCGAAAGCGUGGGGAGCGAACAGG